UAAUAAAUAAGUAAUAAGUUUUGAAUAUUAGCAGAGAAAAAUAAAGAUUUUUAACUGGAAUUUUAUUUAUAUUCAAAGCGCGGAGUUAUUUAUUGAAUGCAAUACCUGCAACACCGUUAUGUCGGAAUUGUUGCCGAUUUAAACGAACUUGGCAAAAUGCCGCUGUCACAAACAUUUUAAUGUUUCGGUUUCCUCUUUCCAUUUUCUUACUUGUAUCCUUUUUCCUGUCUAUUAGAUGUCUAUCAAAUUAAUUUACUUUUAAAUAUUAUAUAAUGAAGUUAAUCUUAUUACUAUCGAAUUUGACUAGCAAAUAAAAUAAAUAUUAUUAUGAAAGAGAGAAAUGUUUUGAUUGUUUACAGAAUUCAAAGACUUAUCGCAUUUGAUUUCUGUGAUAUACAUGUAUAAUAUCUUGAUUAUAUGUAUGUGUAUUACUAUAUAUUUGUGAAUUAUUAAAAUCUACUCAUUAAUUAAUCGAUUACUCGAACGAUAAUUGCAAAUGACUUUAAACAAAAAAGAGAAAAUAAAUGAAAAAUUAGCUAAGAAGUAAGUACCGACAGAAAACGACAUUAUUAGUCAUUGGGUUAUCCUUUUUAAUUCUCUCGGAUGACUUCAAACAAAAUUCGCGCCACAAUUAACUGAUUAAUCAGAAAAUUCAAAAAUUAAGUCAUUCAACAAUUAGACGACAAAUUUUCCACGUUGUUUAAAAAUAAAAAAAAUAGCAAAACUAACUCAAAAUGACUCGCAUAAAAAGGCACGCAUCACCAAGAAAUCACGAAGAAAUGACUUUUUUGAUUAAUUGUAUAAUACAGAAAAAUAAAAUAAAAAUAUUUAAUUUAUUCUGCACCAUAAUGUAAUCUAAAGAGCAUCGUCGUCGCAAGCCAAACAUUCCUGAGUUAGUCUACAAGUUCCUUGUUACGAAUUUUUAUAUCCUUGUUACGAAUUACGAAGCUUCUAACCAUACAGAACGUUAUCCUGUGAACAAGUGCAGUUGCCGUGACCAAGAGAAACAUCAUAACGAAAUCAUAGAUUAUGUUUCGCGAAUCAUAGGCAGAAGCACAGGCUACAAAGUAAGGCGUAAGGACAAUGAUAGGAUUUCUAAAUUACUGCACAAUAUCAAGUAAUGCUCUAUUUACAAGGAUCUGCCGGCCUCAUAUUUGCAAAAAUGCGUGAACAGCGAAGGUACAAAAUUAAUUGAAAAAUUUUCUCCAAUAGGUACGAGAGAGGCAAGAAAGUAUAUAAAAAAAGACGUUGGGUUUUGGUGUUGAGUCGGGCUACCUUAGCCCUUCUGAUCCUACGUGCAGGAUUCUACGCGUGUCUUCGGACUUGAUGAAAAACGAUUUAUAAAGAAAUAAGAUCAGCAUUUGCGAGAUGGAUCUCUUUAAAAAUUGUGUUACUCCGACGCUAGACUCGAGAAUCCUCAAGAGCAAAAGAGGAAACAAAGAAGACGAGAAAGACGCAGACGAAGUCAAAGAUUGAAAAGCGGAUCCAGAACGCGUCGUAGAAGCAGAAGGAGGAGAAAAAGAAAAAGCAGAUUUCGUAGUAAAGGACGUAGAAGACAGCAGCCCGCAGAAUCCCAAAGAGGUUGCUGAGGAUGAGGCAAACGAUUAUGAGAUGGACAUAGAAAGGGAACCGAAAACCGCUUGAUUGAACCAACCUGGCAAAGAACAAUCUACGAAAAAGGUUGAAGAAGAUGAUUUGGAUUUACCAUCAACGAGAAUUGAACUGAUGAUAAAGAUGAAAAAAAGGACUGAUAUUACCAAAGCUUUUUAAAAUUGAGCGUAAUUACAAUUUCCGUAAAAUAG